UUGUCCUGCAGGGUGUUGGUAUUUCUUAAAAGGUGAGCUCCUUCCCUAUGGGUUUUCCUUAUGACAACUAAGGAUAUUCUACGAACGGAUUUUCUCAUGCCAAAGUCAUUCAUCAAAGUGGUGGGAAGCUCUCAAAAUGAUUGCUAGAAGCCUAGGUCAUAUUGUGGAAUUAUUACUUUUCGAAGUGAAAUAUGUUAAACUGGUCUUCUUUUUGCUGCAUAUAAUAAUCCUAAAGGAAAUCAACAUGCACUAAUUGUUCAGAUUCCUAAGGUUGCAGGUUCAUUGCCAAUUUUCUUUUACUCCCAGUGUGCUCCCUCCUUCCUACUAGGUCACCCUGAGAUGACGCUACAUACUCCUUUUGUUGUAAUACAACUACCAGUGGUUUCAUAUUCAUGAUUCUUACUUUCUAUAAUAUUGGUUUCCCAAUGGCAGAAUAUGCUUCUGGAGUAAUGUGAAUUGUUGCUUGUGUUACUCAGUGCCUUCAAUGCUUGGUUCAUCACCAAGGGGGUCAUUUGCACAAUUUCAUCUUUGCAGUUUCAGUUGUUGCUGCCCUACAAGAAUUUCAACUGGGAGCGCGGAACUCCUGUAGUGAGUGAGAACUGGAUAGUCGAUAUCAUUCAGAAGAAGGAAGCCCAGCCAUUGGCUGCUUAUGAUAUUGUAUCGGAUGUUGUUCCGGAGGGCAGAGGACUGCCGCUCGACAAGCUUGAUCCAAGCGAGGAGGCCAUCGAGACUUUGGCGGCAGAGCUGAAACUUGCUGGCAAAAGAUCGGUGCACAACGACUCUAAACUGGGCAAAGACGGCGGAUGUAUCUUUGAGAAGGAUGGCAUCAUCUACAAUUGUGUCUGUUCAAUUUGCGACUUAGGAUCCGAGACUAACCAGCUCUGCAUUAUGCAGCUGAUCGUGCUACCUGAAAAACACCUGCACCUUUUCUACAAGAAGGGUCCAAUUGGCCAUGAUCAGAUGGCAGAGGAAUGAGUCGAGGAUUUUGGAAACCGUGUCAAUGAUGUUAUCAAGGAAUUUGCCCGUCUGUUCAAGGAGGUUACUGGAAAUGAUUUCGAGCCAUGGGAGAGAGAAAAGAAGUUUGAGAAGAAGAGUAUGAAGAUGUACCCCUUGGACAUGGAUGUUGGUUUCGAUGUGCGUCAUGGAGGUGCGGCACUUCGUUAGCUGGGUGCUGCAGCAGCACACUGCAAGCUUGACCCUGCCAUUUCUUUUCUUCUAAAGCAAUUGUGCGGCCAAGAAAUAUACAGGUAUGCUUUGACAGAGAUGGCCCAGGAUCUGCCUGACCUUCCUAUUGGGAUGCUUACAGAUGCCCAUUUGAAGAGAGGU